CACUGGGUACAAAGAUACAGUA
rnacentral:siRNA from 1 species